CAAGUUCAUGCCCUUACGGGUAGAUCUCCCACCCUUGAAUACCUUACCUUUGUUGCUUUGGCGGGCCACGUCCGCGUGCCGGCUUCGGUUGGUUGCGCCCGCCAGAGGACCCAAACUCGUUUGUUUAGUGAUGUCUGAGUACUAUAUAAUAGUUAAAACUUUCAACAACGGAUCUCUUGGUUCUGGCAUCGAUGAAGAACGCAGCGAAAUGCGAUAAGUAAUGUGAAUUGCAGAAUUCAGUGAAUCAUCGAAUCUUUGAACGCACAUUGCGCCCCUUGGUAUUCCGAGGGGCAUGCCUGUUCGAGCGUCAUUAUGACCACUCAAGCCCAGCUUGGUGUUGGGGUCCGCGGUCCCGCGGCCCUUAAAAUCAGUGGCGGCGCCAUCUGGCUCUCAGCGUAGUAAUACUCCUCGCUACAGGGUCCCGGUGGCUGCUUGCCAGCAACCCCCCAUCUCACGGUUGACCUCGGAU
rnacentral:rRNA from 1 species